rnacentral:rRNA from 1 species
UACGUAGGGUGCGAGCGUUGUCCGGAAUUAUUUGGGCGUAAAGAGCUUGUAGGCGGUUUGUCGCGUCUGCCGUGAAAAAUUCGAGGCUCAACCUCGAACUUGCGGUGGGUACGGGCAGACUAGAGUGUGGUAGGGGAGACUGGAAUUCCUGGUGUAGCGGUGAAAUGCGCAGAUAUCAGGAGGAACACCGAUGGCGAAGGCAGGUCUCUGGGCCACUACUGACGCUGAGGAGCGAAAGCGUGGGUAGCGAACAGG